rnacentral:lncRNA from 1 species
ACCAAGUAUAUACUAUCUUUAUGUUACACACACUUCCUUUUAUAGAGGAAGUGCAUGGCAAUGGAGGGCAACAUGGAGUGGUGUAGCAAUUGAGUGCAAUGAUGCAUGAAAUCUGAAAUGAUGGAGGGAACAAGGAAUGGUGUAGCAAUUGAGUGCAAUAAUUCAAUGUAAUGAUGCAUGAAAUCUGAAAUGAUGGAGGGAACAAGGAAUGGUGUAGCAAUUGAGUGCAAUGAUUCAAUGUAAUGAUGAAUGAAAUCUGAAAUGAUGGAGGGAACAAGGAUGAUUAUGCAUGGCAUGGGUGGAAAGGUGUAAGUGGUGAAUCAAUGAGUGCAAGGAGGUGAAAGGAUAUUGUGCACAUGGUAGACAAAGGAAAGGAAGUGGACUGAUGCAACAAAUGAGUUAAUUGAGGGAACAUGGAUGAUGAUGCACGGACAUAGGAAUCCAAAGGGAGUGCAAUGGUGGUGCA